UGAGGAAUAUUGGUCAAUGGCCGGAAGGCUGAACCAGCCAUCCCGCGUGCAGGAUGACGGCCCUAUGGGUUGUAAACUGCUUUUGUACCUGAAGAAUAGGCCCAACGUGUUGGGAUUUGCCGGUAAGGUAUGAAUAAGCAUCGGCUAACUCCGUGCCAGCAGCCGCGGUAAUACGGAGGAUGCGAGCGUUAUCCGGAUUCAUUGGGUUUAAAGGGUGCGCAGGUGGGAAAAUAAGUCAGUGGUGAAAUACUGCCGCUUAACGGUAGAAUUGCCAUUGAUACUGUUUUUCUUGAGUAUGGUUGAGGUAGGUGGAAUGUGUUGUGUAGCGGUGAAAUGCAUAGAUAUGACACAGAACGCCGAUUGCGAAGGCAGCUUACUAAGCCAUUACUGACGCUGAGGCACGAAAGCGUGGGGAUCGAACAGG
rnacentral:rRNA from 1 species